AUAUUUUUUAUCUUUGUUCUUGAAUUCCAAUUGGCAAUGUAAAAUCUCGUGUUUGACGUUAGCUUUAUCAGAUCGCGUUUGAGUGUUCAUUUGAUAUAUCCAACAGAAUUUCAUUUUGAUUCAAGUUACCAUUAAGUCAGCAGUCAUAUUUGUCGCCUUUUUCUUGUUUUUGAUUGUGAACGCAAAGAACAAUCGAAAAUACAUGAAGAGCAAUUUAAAACCUGAACAGAAACUGAUGUUCAGAGGAAAAGGAAUGUAUUAUUUUUUUGGCGGUGCAAAUCAUAAUCCAAAUUAUUAUCCAUCUUAUUAUCCUGCAAAAGCUGGGCGCAGCGUUGGACGAAGAGGCGAGCAUUUUGGUCGUCGCUGAUUGACUCAAUGUUUAAG